GGGCACGAGAGCCUCAUUUCUAUCUCUUCCUCUCAAGUCUUCCGCAAGGAGAAAGAAUGCUAAAGCAGACCUUCGGAUCAACCGGAAUCGUUAAUAGGAGCUGUAACUUUACCUGGCCUCUCUAACCAUGGAUCUAUGGCUCGAAUGCAGGUAUUGGGUAACCUUGAGGAUGGAUACCCCAAACAUGAGACUGACCAGCUCAUUUGCAGGUAUUGGGUAACGUUGAGACUGGAAGCACCAAACAUGAGACUGAGCAGAUAAUUUGCAGGUGACCCUCAUGGCUGACCCUGAAGUGACUAGAUGAGUAAAUCAGAUGAGUGCAUCAGGCAUCAAUCAACGCACUUAUAUCUGGUAUCCUUGGGCUUCAUGGGCUUGUUACCUUCCUGGCAAGGUCCAGUGAUGUGUUGGAGCAGCCUGAAGUGCUGUGUAUUCAGGGCCCACGACAAAAUGUGUAAUGUUUUGUGAAGGCAGCAGGCAGCAACUGCAGAGGGAUUAAAUGUGGAUGUGGCUCCAGAGAUGCAGGUUGCCUACCCCUGACUUUACUGUUGUGAGGAAGGGACUGAAUUGAAUCAAUAUUGUGUUAAUGAAAUAAAAUUCACAAACUCAA